rnacentral:rRNA from 1 species
UUCGUAUGAUACGCGAGGAACCGUUACCUGGGCUCGAACGUAAGAUGACUGUAGGUGAAAGCUUACAUCUCUUCGGAGCAUUUUACGAGGUGCUGCAUGGUUGUCGUCAGCUCGUGCCGUGAGGUGUCGGUUAAGUCCCAUAACGAGCGCAACCCUACCUUUAGUUGCCAUCAGGUAAUGCUGGGGACUCUAAAGGAACUGCCUACGCAAGUAGUGAGGAAGCGGGGAUGACGUCAAAUCAGCACGGCCCUUACGUCCAGGGCUACACACGUGCUACAAUGGCCGAUACAGAGGGCAGCUACCUGGUGACAGGAUGCAAAUCUCCAAAGUCGGUCUCAGUUCGGAUCGGAGUCUGCAACCCGACUCCGUGAAGUUGGAUUCGCUAGUAAUCGCGCAUCAGCCAUGGCGCGGUGAAUACGUUCCCGGGCCUU